AGCGAACGCUGGCGGCAGGCCUAACACAUGCAAGUCGAACGAACCCUUCGGGGUUAGUGGCGGACGGGUGAGUAACACGUGGGAACGUGCCUUUAGGUUCGGAAUAACUCAGGGAAACUUGUGCUAAUACCGAAUGUGCCCUUCGGGGAAAGAUUUAUCGCCUUUAGAGCGGCCCGCGUCUGAUUAGCUAGUUGGUGAGGUAAUGGCUCGCCAAGGCUACGAUCAGUAGCUGGUCUGAGAGGAUGACCAGCCACAUUGGGACUGAGACACGGACCAAACUCCUACGGGAGGCAGCAAUGGGGAAUCUUGUGCAAUGGGCGAAAGCCUGACGCAGCCAUGCCGCGUGGAUGAUGAAGGUCUUAGGAUUGUAAAAUCCUUUCACCGGUGAAGAUAAUGACUGUAGCCGGAGAAGAAGCCCCGGCUAACUUCGUGCCAGCAGCCGCAGUAACAC
rnacentral:rRNA from 1 species